GGUGAUGUAGCUUAGUGGUACAGUGCUUGUCUGGCAAGCAUGAGACCCUGAGUUCAAUUCCAAGUACCAUCA
rnacentral:tRNA from 1 species